CUUCCCCUCUCCGCUGCCUCGCUCUUUCCCCUUCUCCUCGAUCCAUAUCCAACCCAAGCGCCCCGUCCCCUGCCACAGCCACGACAUCACGGUCGUGCGCCACCCACCUUCGGAUCCCUCCACCCGCUCGCGCCCUUGCUCCCUCUCCGCCUGCGGGGCCGCACCCCUCGCGCUGCUCCUCGACGACGCGGGGCUCGUCCAAGUGGCGAGCGACCGGUGGCGGCGGCACCAGCGUUGUCGUGAAGGGGCCGCGAGUGGCGGGCGACCCGCACCUCUUCCAUCUUUCCACCAAACGCCGCCGACCUCCUCUCCUCUCCCACCAUCGACCUCCUCUCCCCAGCCAACCCCACCGACGAAUUACGCGGUCUUCCCAUCCCCGGGGGCCUCCUCCCUCGACCCCGUCGCCGGCGGCCCCUAACCUCUCCUCCUCUCCCUGGCGACUGGCGAGGGAGGAUCCAGAUCCACUCGAUAGUGGAGCCCCGCCUCUUCUCCUCUCCGGUCAACAUGGAGGUCCGCCGCGUCCAACCUCCUCGACGGCGCCCAGAACCCUAGGUGGCCCAUCUCUUACUCCCAUGGCCAUGGCCAUGGCGAGCCUGCAAGAUGUGCAGCAGCAGAUAUUGAUUUCCCAGCCCGCCUGAUGGCCCCCUCCCCUCGCCCCCGCGUAGAUCUUCGAGUACAACGGCCCACCCUGCAGCCACUAGUCCGGGACGAGCGCAGCGCCGGUUCGGGUGUCCUGCGCCAACCAGAGCCCGCCCCAGGUGCUCGACAAAACGCCGGCUACAUCCUCGGCAUGUUCCCCUACCCGAGGUGAGGAAGGUGGAUAUGCUCGACCGAGUCACCAUCUUGCGGUGCUAUGAUUUGAUUUGUGUGCUAUUGUUGCUUGUGGUCUGCAGCCUGCAGGGUUCAUACUGCUCCUUUGUGUUAUUUUUUUUUGCCUUGAGAUUGUUUCAAGAUUCAGAAGUGAGCAAUUUUGCAUGGCUUAGAUUUUGAUGCCUCUGAAUUAGUAGUGCUACUUAUUCCCAGGUCACAAGAGUCUGUAGCUUUUGAAUUUAAUUGUAUGCAUGCAAUACUUAAUGGUAUUGUUGUGCAAUUCGUACUGAGCAUGCAUCAAUAGUAGGAGUGCUCAGUGCAUGCAUCAACAACUAUCUAUAUGUUUGGUUUGAUUGCUGGGCUUGUAAAUGUAUGGGUUGGUCUGGGUUUGGUUUGGAUUACAAACUAUUGCCAGGUUGUCUUAAUGUGCUGAAUAUUUUCAAAUGUUGUGGCAGCUGGGAUACUAAAUUGUACUUAGUUAUUUGAUCUACUCAUGUUCAUGCUGCUUCUUAAGUGAUUAUGUUUAUGUUCUUGCUACUAGUAGGAUGGUCAAUACAUGCUUGUUAUGUAACUUUAGAUCUUUCGUGGAACUCCUGGUCCUUCAUAUCUAAAGUUAUUUUGACAUUCUGCAUAGAUUCUAACAUUGCUUGAUUGCUUAUAUCUUCCUUCUGAACCUACAAACCUUGAUGCAUAAUUAGUUAAUUACACACUUUGAUAUGUCCAACUGAACCAACUUUGUUAAUUACACACACAGACACACACACAUAUAUAUAUACAUCCCCACACGUCAAAUAUAUGGUGUUGUAUUAUGCUUAUGCUACUUGUAUCACUAGUGUUUCCUCUUGUUUUUUUAGGGUGGUCCCUCUUGUUUUUUAGGGUGCAACAACUGAUGGUUAUUUGUCCGAAACAAAAGUUACUGCUGACCUCUUCCUAUGGAGGAACAAGAAGAUCUUUGUCGGGGUGCUCACGGGCGCCACCGCCAUUUGGCUACUAUUUGAGGUGCUGGAGUACCACCUCCUCAUGCUUCGUGGCUACAACAGUACUUGUGUUGAUGCCAAAAUUAGAAAGCCGUUUUGCUCUGUUUCUGAAAUAUUUGCCAGCUGAUCCGCCAAAUGGUCUCUGCUAAAUUCUGUUCAUUAAGUGGCCUUCUUGAUAUUUAGCAAUCUUGAUGCCUCGUAUAACUACUUGUUGAACUAGAGAAUCGAUUUGACGACUUGAUCAAUGGUUUUCUUAACAGUCAAGUUUCAGCAUGUUUCCUGUUUGCACCCAUUUGUCAUAGCUGACAAUGAGAAGAUGCAGAUUUUUCUCCAUGCUGGCUUGCAAGCUGCACCUGAAAUGUGGAAUACCUUGGAGCACUACUUACUAAAUUAGUUGCUUGCUCGAUGCAUCUUAUCCAACUUCUCCAUGAAGUAUUCUGUUAUAUUUAUUCAGUUUUCUUCAUGCAUCUAUCUACUGGUGGUGACUAUGCUGUCUAUGAGAUCCUACACCCGAGAGGAUGUGGUGGAGCUCCAGUGUAGAGCUACUCAUUUGAUUCAUUUGAAAAGAUGAGUAAUUCUUUUUCAUUAACAAAAGCUUCUCAUCUCUUUUCUUCUAUUUUCCUCUCUUCUCUUCUCUUUGCUGCUGUUAAGUUAGGACUUUCUGAUGAUGAUUGCUGUUGUUAGAAAUCAUGAUUGCUUAGUUUAGUGUAGGACUUGCUGCUAUUGUUGUCAUAUUCAUACUGUAUUUUCCAAAGUUUGAUAGCACAUCGUCCUUAGGAUAAGUUCUUGAUCAAAGAAAUGGACUAAAUUAAAGCAUUCCCGGGAGUUGAUGCUGUUCUAAUUGACAUGCUGCUGUUCUCAAACUGUUGUUGUCAUUAACCUGAUGUUGCUGUUGUUGUAGGAGAAGAAGGAGCACACCCAGGAGAAGGAGCAAGCCCAGGAGAAAAAGAGCGAGCAGGAGAAGAAGGCACUGGAUUGCUGCUGUUGGAGUGUUGAGGACCUGGGAUCUGUGACGGCCCUGCACCGGCUCCCGCCCGCGGAUGUCGUGCGGGCGGCCUGCGCCUGCCGCCUCUUGAGCACCGUCGCCUCCGACCGCGCCGUGCUGGAGGCCACCUUCCACGCGCCCUCGGGCAUGCGCCACGUCCUCAGCGACCCGGCCACCAGGGCCUUCUGGCACGCUGCCUCCCUCGCCCAAUUUGCGCUCUCGCGUGCCCUCCGUCGUGGGGUCACCGUCCCGGGCAUCGCGCUCAAGUAUUUUGUCCAGUUGGGUGUACAGGAGCUAUAGG